UGGAGAGUUUGAUCCUGGCUCAGAACGAACGCUGGCGGCAGGCUUAACACAUGCAAGUCGAGCGCACCUUCGGGUGAGCGGCGGACGGGUUAGUAACGCGUGGGAACAUACCCUUUGGUACGGAAUAGCCUCUGGAAACGGAGAGUAAUACCGUAUGAGCCCUUCGGGGGAAAGAUUUAUCGCCAAAGGAUUGGCCCGCGUUAGAUUAGGUAGUUGGUGGGGUAAUGGCCUACCAAGCCUACGAUCUAUAGCUGGUUUUAGAGGAUGAUCAGCAACACUGGGACUGAGACACGGCCCAGACUCCUACGGGAGGCAGCAGUGGGGAAUCUUGGACAAUGGGGGCAACCCUGAUCCAGCCAUGCCGCGUGAGUGAUGAAGGCCUUAGGGUCGUAAAGCUCUUUCGCCUGUGAAGAUAAUGACGGUAGCAGGUAAAGAAACCCCGGCUAACUCCGUGCCAGCAGCCGCGGUAAU
rnacentral:rRNA from 1 species